CAAUAGCGUAUAUUAAAGUUGUUGCAGUUAAAAAGCUCGUAGUUGGAUUUGUGGCGUACGACGGGCUCCGGGCACUUGUUGUCUGAGUAGCUUGUCGUUGCCAUCCUUGGGUGGAACCUGUGUGGCAUUAGGUUGUCGUGCAGGGGAUGCCCAUCUUUUACUGUGAAAAAAUUAGAGUGUUCAAAGCAGGCUUAUGCCGUUGAAUAUAUUAGCAUGGAAUAAUAAGAUAGGACUUUGUCGCUAUUUUGUUGGUUUGCGCGAUAAGGUAAUGAUUAAUAGGGACAGUUGGGGGUAUUCGUAUUCCAUUGUCAGAGGUGAAAUUCUUGGAUUUUUGGAAGACGAACUACUGCGAAAGCAUUUACCAAGGAUGUUUUCAUUA
rnacentral:rRNA from 1 species